rnacentral:rRNA from 1 species
GGCGGCGUGCCUAACACAUGCAAGUCGAACGCGAAAGCCCUUUCGGGGGUAAGUAGAGUGGCGUCCGGGUGAGUAACACGUGGGUAAUCUGCCUUCGGGAGGGGAAUAACCCAGGGAAACUUGGGCUAAUACCGCAUAAUGCAGCGGCACCUAAUGGUGAUUAGUUGUUAAAGCGGGGGAUCGCAAGACCUCGCGCCUGAAGAGGAGCCUGCGGCAGAUUAGCUAGUUGGUGAGGUAAUGGCCCACCAAGGCUUCGAUCUGUAGCUGGUCUGAGAGGACGGCCAGCCACACUGGCACUGACACACGGGCCAGACUCCUACGGGAGGCAGCAGUGGGGAAUUUUGGGCAAUGGGCGAAAGCCUGACCCAGCAACGCCGCGUGAGGGAGGAAAUCCUUCGGGAUGUAAACCUCACAAGCAAGGGAAGAGAGCUACGGGCUGAAUAAUCCCGUAGUGCGACGGUACCUUGCGUAAGCCACGGCUAACUAUGUGCCAGCAGCCGCGGUAAUACGUAGGUGGCAAGCGUUGUUCGGAAUUAUUGGGCGUAAAGGGCGCGUA